rnacentral:lncRNA from 1 species
AAAGUGGGGAAAUUAUAGAGUGAGAAGGGGAAGGUGCUCAGUCUGAGCCACUGCAUGGUCACUUCAUAGAUGCCCGUCAUUCAGCAGCUACAAGGGUUUCAGAAGACCCUUCUCAUGCACUCAGGACAACUCCCAAAACACAAGCAGAUUAUCCAUUCACACACAUAUAGCUGAAUCAUGGGAAAUAACAAUACGCCAUAGAAGAUACCUCUGAAGACAGAAGUUAGAGUACACUGUGGACAACUUAACUGCCAGCUGAGGUGACCGAACUUAUCAGUGAUGUAGAGACAACUAUUAAUGAUGUAAGUGAACUUUAGGCUUAAAAACUGUUGUGGGUGAUGGGUUAAAAGGUGUGAGACUGUAGGCAGGGGAAUGCUUUAAGUUCUGUAAUAAUAUUUAAGAAAAAACUGAGAAUACAAAGUAAGAAGAGACAGGAACUCUAAAAAGUUGAUUCUAAGAAGUGACAUGCAGUACUAGCAAGCACUUGUGCAGAGCUUACACAGUUCUUAGACGUGGCUGCAAGAGAACAGAUUCAUGCAUGCUACCUGUUUGACCCUCACUCUGUAGUGUUGUUGCUAUUAUCACCUGCUUGGAUAAGGAAGUUAGGUUUUAUUUAUAUCAAAAAAAGUGAUUGUAGUACUAGUAUAUGUUAUUUCUACAACCCAACUUCCUGUAUUGUGACAUUUUCAUACUAUAUGAAAAUAUUUUGAGUUGCUGGAGAAGACCAAUUCUCCUCUUUUAGCUAUUAUUAGUAUCCUGUAGCUCUUUAUCUAGAGGUGGACCAUCUAAUAUUUACCCCAUUGAUGCUAGCAUACAAACUAACACACACUGUGUACGUCUUGUUUAAGUAACCAUGUCGUUGAGAUUUUGUGAAUGCUGCUCCCCUAUCAUGUAUAGAAAACAUGUUCUCACAGAACAUAGCCUACUUUUCUGGUUCUUGCGGUGUUUCUGGCCCCUCUGCUCUGCUGUUCUCUGAACCUUGGACAUAGGAGUUUGGUUGCAGCUUCUCUAUGAGUUGGGCUUCUCUGCAUUCUGACUAGUUGUGUGUUUCUGUUGUCAUCCAUCUGUUGUGAAAAGAAGCUUCCUUGAUGAGGAAUAAGACCCAUACUCUUCUGUGGGUAUAAGGAGAGGUAUUCAGAUUGCAGUUAGAAAUUAUACUGAUUUGGGAGAAUGGCAGCUAUCUUUCUUUUUAAAUGCAGAUUCUGCUAAUAGAUAAAAAUGUGAUGUUUGUCUGAGUCGGAUUUGCUUUGCUUAACAUGAUGUUUUCAAUUUCAACUAGUUACCUACAAAUGACAUAAUUUUGUAUUUUUUGAAGUCUGAAUAAUACUUUUCCUUGUAUGUAUGUGUGAUAUAUGUAUACACAUAUGACACAUACGUGCAUCACAUUUUCUUUAUCUACUCAUCGAUUGGUGAGUACUUAGCUAGGUUGGUUCCUUACUGCCUAUUGCGAAGAGUGCUAAAGUAAUCACCAAUGUGUAGAUAUCUCUACUAUGUGCUGAGUAGAGUUCUUUAUGUAAAGACCAAAACAUGGUAUAGCAGGGUCAGAUGAUAGCUUUAUUUUUCCAUCUUUUGAGGAACAGUUAUACUGAUUUCCCUAGCAUUGGAAAGUUAAUUUGAGGUUCCAUCAAGGGUAGAUAUGGGUUUCUUCAUCACAUAACCAUCAUUGUUUAUCUUCUUUUUUAAAAAAAAAUGAUUUGUGUGUUUAUGUGUAAUAUUCAUCUGCAUGUGUGUCCAUGCACUGUUUGCAUGCUGAGGUCUGAAGAGGAUGAUGAAUACCUGAGACACAGAGUUACAGACAAUUAUUAGCUGCCUCAUGGACUCUGGGAAUCGAGUGCCAGUCCUCUGCACGAGCAGCAAGUGCUCUAUAGUGCUGAACCAUCUCUCCAGGCCCUAGUUUACCUUCUUGAUGUUAAUCAUUUUCCUAUGAUGAGACAGAAUUUGAAUAUAAUUCAACUAGCACUUCCUUUAUUCCUAAGGAAUAUUCUAUGUAUUCAUUGACAGUUUUGCUUCACUUAAAGACUUUCUGGCCAAUUCAUUUGCCCAUGUAUUGGUAGAUUAUUUCUUUUUAUUAUAUUUUUAUUUACAUUGUUUGUAUCAAUUCCUUUUCACAUGAAUGUUCAUCAAAAUUCUCUCCGUUCUCCAGUAUGUCUCCUCACUCAGCUGCUUCCUCUGCCAGGCAAAUCCUUGGAAUUCCAAUCUCACAUAUUCUUACUGUGUGUCUUCUAAUAUUGAGGUGGUAUUCAGAAAGUCUUUGGUUUUCUCUGUACCUUGAAUUUUCAUUACUUUUAUUCCUAGUGGUUUCAAAGUCUCAGGUCUUAAAGUGUUCACUCUAUUUGCAACAUGUCUCCUCCUGAUUUAUUAAAUUGUAUGGAUUAGUUAUUCUCGCUAACAAUUUCCAGGUAAAAUGUAUUCACUUUUCAAUUUUUUAAUUCUUGAGAUUAUAUAUUUUUUUAUUCUUUGUUCCCUCUGAUAUAAUGCACACAAAGCAGCUGAGUUCUGCAGUCUGCUCAGUGGAGAUACAUCAAUGUACACUCAGACAACAUGAAAAUAGCCACAUAAAACACCGAGA